rnacentral:rRNA from 1 species
UACGAAGGGGGCUAGCGUUGCUCGGAAUCACUGGGCGUAAAGGGUGCGUAGGCGGGUCUUUAAGUCCGGGGUGAAAUCCUGGAGCUCAACUCCAGAACUGCCUUUGAUACUGAAGAUCUUGAGUUCGGGAGAGGUGAGUGGAACUGCGAGUGUAGAGGUGAAAUUCGUAGAUAUUCGCAAGAACACCAGUGGCGAAGGCGGCUCACUGGCCCGAUACUGACGCUGAGGCACGGAAGCGUGGGGAGCAAACAGG